GGGUUAAUAUGACUAUAAAUACUGGUCUGUGGUGCGCACAGGUAUCAUUUCUCUAUCCUCAGCUGACACGUGCAUGCACGGUGACAAUGACAACAAAAUUAUUAGUAGUGCUGCUUGUUUUGUGCGUAAUGAGCGGGACUGUGAUUGAAAAUGUUCAAGCUCAGUGUAGGUGUGCAGUAUUUUGUGGCCGGAGUGAGUGUUACGUUGGUCGUUGCGGGUCGUUAGGCUGGAGACGUUACUGCUGCCACAGGUCACAUUCGUCUUGCCGACGCUAAGUGUCUACAGCACACGUCGUUUCUGGUAGAAAGAAAAAGGCGUUGUGACCUUUCAGUGUUUUUAUAUAAUGUUCAUCAAGAAAUAAACUCAUGAAUAAAAAUGGGC